UACAGAGGGGGCAAGCGUUGUUCGGAAUUACUGGGCGUAAAGGGCGCGUAGGCGGCUUUUCAAGUCGGGCGUGAAAUCUCCGGGCUUAACCCGGAAGGGUCGUCCGAUACUGUUGAGCUAGAGUGUGGAAGAGGCAACUAGAAUUCCGUGUGUAGCGGUGAAAUGCGUAGAUAUACGGAGGAAUACCUGAGGCGAAGGCGGGUUGCUGGGCCAACACUGACGCUGAGGCGCGAAAGCCAGGGGAGCAAACGGG
rnacentral:rRNA from 1 species